UACGAAGGGGGCUAGCGUUGUUCGGAAUUACUGGGCGUAAAGCGCACGUAGGCGGACUAUUAAGUCAGGGGUGAAAUCCCGGGGCUCAACCCCGGAACUGCCUGCCAGACUGUGAGGCUUGAGACCGGGAGAGGUGAGUGGAAUUCCCAGUGUAGCGGUGAAAUGCGUAGAUAUUGGGAGGAACACCAGUGGCGAAGGCGGCUCACUGGACCGGAACUGACGCUGAGGCGCGAAAGCGUGGGGAGCAAACAGGG
rnacentral:rRNA from 1 species